GAUGAACGCUGGCGGCGUGCCUAAUACAUGCAAGUCGAGCGAACGGACGAGAAGCUUGCUUCUCUGAUGUUAGCGGCGGACGGGUGAGUAACACGUGGAUAACCUACCUAUAAGACUGGGAUAACUUCGGGAAACCGGAGCUAAUACCGGAUAAUAUUUUGAACCGCAUGGUUCAAAAGUGAAAGACGGUCUUGCUGUCACUUAUAGAUGGAUCCGCGCUGCAUUAGCUAGUUGGUAAGGUAACGGCUUACCAAGGCAACGAUGCAUAGCCGACCUGAGAGGGAGAUCGGCCACACGGGAACUGAGACACGGUACAGACUCAUACGGGAGGCAGCAGUAGGGAAUUGUCCGGAAAGGGCGAAAGCCUGACGGAGCAACGCCGCGGGAGCGAUGAAGGUCUUAGGAUCGUAAAACUCUGUUAUUAGGGAAGAACAUAUGUGUAAGGAACUGUGCACAUCUUGACGGUACCUAAUCAGAAGGCCACGGCUAAGUACGUG
rnacentral:rRNA from 1 species